GGAUGAUGAUAAAGCUGCAUCUUUUUUUUUCGUUUACCGAUAUCGAGUACUCCGAUUUUUCGGUUUAUUGCUGUGUAAUUCUGUUCUGAUAAUUGAUAUAUCUUGAACAGUUAUAUGUAACUUUCCACCACCCAAAAUGGCAUCGGU